UGGGGAAUCUUGCGCAAUGGACGAAAGUCUGACGCAGCAACGCCGCGUGAGUGAAGAAGGCCUUCGGGUUGUAAAGCUCUGUCGGGCGGGACGAAAACUAUUAGGGUUAAUAGCCUUAGUAAUUGACGGUACCGCCAGAGGAAGCACCGGCUAACUCUGUGCCAGCAGCCGCGGUAAUACAGAGGGUGCAAGCGUUGCUCGGAAUCAUUGGGCGUAAAGGGCAGGUAGGUGGUCUUAUUUGUCAGGGGUG
rnacentral:rRNA from 1 species